rnacentral:tRNA from 2 species
GCGGUCAUGAUGAAAUUGGCAGACAUGCAGGAUUUAGGUUCCUGUGCCGCAAGGCGUGUGGGUUCAAGUCCCAUUGACCGCA